rnacentral:snRNA from 1 species
GUGCUCACUUCGGCAGCACAUGUACUAAAACUGGAAUGAUACAUAGAAGAUUAGCAUGGCCCUGUGCAAGGAUGACACACACAUUUGUGAAGCCUAAAAACACAAA